rnacentral:sRNA from 1 species
GCUUACAAAUGCAUCCGUAAUUUCCAUAUUUUCCAAAACCAAAAGAAAGUUGCAUUAAGUGUAUAUUUCAAGUAGCUUUCAUUGCGGAAAGUUUCCCAGGCUUGUAUAACUUUACAGCUAGGUAUGAUUUAUAUACCUUUGGAACUCUGCCAUUUAGGGAGAGAAACCCCAGAGAUCUGGCCAUAGAGUUUAGAACACAUAUGGAGUAUUAAAACUGGUUUUGGAAACGCACGAGCAAUACAUGAUUUUAGCCCCCAGAGAUGUUAUUCAUUUGAACACCUUGCCAGGCGGAGAGCUUGGCCACCUUGAGGCAUCUUCUCGGUUAAACAAGAUAAAUGGGAAAUGUGAAAAUGAAACAUCACCUUGCCGGCCUGCCCUUUUCAGCCCUAAGGACCACAGGACAGGGCCAAGAUAUAUUCAGUAUUUAUAUUUCAUCCUGUUGCCCAACUACCCAAGUAGAAGAUAACAUUUUAAUAGGGCAGCGCCACCUAUUGGCGAGUGGGUAGGUGAGCGAGGUCCUUGGGGCCUCGCCCACUGCCACGCCCCCGCCCAGGAUGUCUGUCCAUUAGGUUAAUGUGCACUUCAAACGAAAUUAAGAUGAAUUGAUUAAAAU